CACGACGAGAUAAAAACAAUCGCCGGAGAAAGAAAAGUCAAUGAGAAAGACGUCGAGAAAAUGCCAUAUCUAAACGCCGUCGUAAAGGAACUACUCAGAAGACACCCUCCAACUUAUCUGUCUUUGACUCAUUCCGUCAUCGAACCUGCAAAACUCGCCGGAUACGAUAUACCCACGGGGACCAACGUGGAGAUAUAUCUUCCCGGAAUCAGUGAGGAUCCAAAACUAUGGAACAACCCGAAUAAAUUCGAUCCGGAUAGGUUUCUUACCGGAGGAGAAACAGCAGACAUAACAGGUGUUACCGGAUUAAAGAUGAUCCCCUUCGGAGUAGGACGGCGGAUAUGUCCGGGGCUGGGGAUGGCGACGCUGCAUGUGAGCCUGAUGAUCGCUCGGAUGGUUCAGGA
rnacentral:lncRNA from 1 species